rnacentral:rRNA from 1 species
ACAAAGGGCAGCAAGUUCGCGAGGACAAGCAAAUCCCAUAAACCGUGGCUCAGUUCAGAUCGUAGGCUGCAACUCGCCUACGUGAAGGAGGAAUCGCUAGUAAUCGCAGGUCAGCAUACUGCGGUGAAUACGUUCCCGGGCCUUGUACACACCGCCCGUCACACCAUGGAAGUUGGCCAUGCCCGAAGCCGUUACUCCAACCCUUGUGGAGGAGGACGUCGAAGGUGGGGCUGAUGACUGGGGUGAAGUCGUAACAAGGUAGCCGUACCGGAAGGUGCGGCUGGAUCACCUCCUAAC